rfam:Oryza sativa (indica cultivar-group) chromosome 1, whole genome shotgun sequence.
CCCACCCUGUCUCAUGGGUAGUUUAGCUCAACUAGUACAUGUAAUUAGUAAUCCCUCCAUAUAAUUAGUAUUUUUGUUGUUAUUAGAUGAUAAAAUAUGAAUAGUACUUUACUCAUGACUUAUGUUUUUAAUUUUUUUAAAAAAAUUUUUAAAUAAGAUGGACGGUUAAAGUUGGACGUGAAAAAUCAUAGCUGCACUUAAA